rfam:Populus trichocarpa isolate Nisqually-1 chromosome 11, whole genome shotgun sequence.
CAAUCUGUUUAAGAUAAAUCUUCAUUUAGUUAUGACAGACACAUACCUGACUGUUCAAAAUCACUCAUUAUUGCAAGUCUAUCUAUCUAAACCUUCUAUAUUAAUGCUGCAAAUAUAAGUAAACUGGAA